GGGCAUACAUGAACGAUUGCUAAUACCCCAUAUGCUGUAAAGUGAAAUGGAUUUAUCCGCCUAAAGAAUAGCUCGCGGCUGAUUAGCUAGUUGGUAAGAUAAUAGCGUACCAAGGCGACGAUCAGUAUCUGGUUUGAGAGGACGAUCAGACACACUGGAACUGAGACACGGUCCAGACUCCUACGGGAGGCAGCAGUGGGGAAUUUUCCGCAAUGGGCGAAAGCCUGACGGAGCAAUACUGCGUGAGGGAAGACUGCCUAUGGGUUGUAAACCUCUUUUUUCAGGGAGGAAUAAAUGACGUGUACCUGAAGAAUAA
rnacentral:rRNA from 1 species